AACGAACGCUGGCGGCGUGGAUAAGACAUGCAAGUCGAGCGGGAACUUUCGCUGUAGCAAUACAGUGAAAGUUCUAGCGGCGAACGGGUGCGUAACACGUGGACAAUCUGCCUUAAAGUGGGGGAUAGCUCGGCGAAAGCCGAAUUAAUACCGCAUGUGAUGAGAGACGACAUCGUCUUGAAAUCAAAGCCGGGGCAACCUGGCGCUUUUUGAGGAGUCCGCGGCCAUCAGCUUGUUGGUGAGGUAACGGCUCACCAAGGCUAUGACGGGUAGCUGGUCUGAGAGGACGACCAGUCACACUGGAACUGAGACACGGUCCAGACACCUACGGGUGGCAGCAGUCGAG
rnacentral:rRNA from 1 species